GCGGGAGUAGCUCAGUGGUAGAGCACUACCUUGCCAAGGUAGGGGUCACGGGUUCGAGCCCCGCCUCCCGCUCCA
rnacentral:tRNA from 1 species